rnacentral:rRNA from 1 species
CGUGUAGGCGGGUGUUUAAGUCAGGGGUGAAAUGCCGAGGCUCAACCUUGGAACUGCCUUUGAUACUGGGCAUCUCGAGUCCGGGAGAGGUGAGUGGAACUGCGAGUGUAGAGGUGAAAUUCGUAGAUAUUCGCAAGAACACCAGUGGCGAAGGCGGCUCACUGGCCCGGAACUGACGCUGAGACGCGAAAGCGUGGGGAGCAAACAGGAUUAGAUACCCUGGUAGUCCACGCUGUAAACGAUGGAUGCUAGCCGUUGGGGAGCUUGCUCUUCAGUGGCGCCGCUAACGCUUUAAGCAUCCCGCCUGGGGAGUACGGUCGCAAGAUUAAA